ACAAAAAAAUUGAGCAGCCCAAAUUUCAAUCGAUCCGAAACCAACAAAGCUCCUAGAAACCAGCAAUAAAAUAAUUAAUUAAUAAAAUACACCAAAAAAAUAAACAGAAAAAAUCAGGGAAAUAGAAAAAUAUGUUUACCUUUUUUAUGCUUCAAGUACACUCUUUUGAGGGGAAAAUAACACUGUAGCAAACCCACGCCGAGCCUCGCGCACAGUCCGUUCCUGUUUCGCUGUUGCACAUGGAGCUCAAGUCGUCGAACCAUAGUCGGAACUCGCAUCAAACCUAGCUUACAUUACAAAUCCUUGAACAGUAGAGAUAUUUAGCUGCAGAGGCGGAUAUUGGUA
rnacentral:lncRNA from 1 species